AGUAAUGUAUGGGGAUCUGCCCGAUAGAGGGGAAUAACUACUGGAAACGGUGGCUAAUACCGCAUAAUGUCUACGGACCAAAGCAGGGGCUCUUCGGACCUUGCACUAUCGGAUGAACCCAUAUGGGAUUAGCUAGUAGGUGGGGUAAAGGCUCACCUAGGCGACGAUCUCUAGCUGGUCUGAGAGGAUGAUCAGCCACACUGGGACUGAGACACGGCCCAG
rnacentral:rRNA from 1 species